UACGUAGGGCGCGAGCGUUGUCCGGAAUUAUUGGGCGUAAAGAGCUCGUAGGCGGCUUGUCACGUCGGGUGUGAAAGACCGGGGCUUAACUCCGGUUCUGCAUUCGAUACGGGCUAGCUAGAGUGUGGUAGGGGAGAUCGGAAUUCCUGGUGUAGCGGUGAAAUGCGCAGAUAUCAGGAGGAACACCGGUGGCGAAGGCGGGUCUCUGGGCCGAUACUGACGCUGAGGAGCGAAAGCGUGGGGAGCGAACAGG
rnacentral:rRNA from 1 species